AUCGAACGCUGGCGGCAUGCCUAAUACAUGCAAGUCGAGCGGAGCUGCGGACGGGUGAGUAAUGCCUAGGAAUCUGCCUGGUUGUGGUGGAUAACGUCGGGGAACGGGCGCUACUACCGCAUACUAUCAGUUCACUCUAGGUCGUAUUAGCUAGUUGGUGGGUUAAAGGCUCACCAAGGCGACGAUCCGUAACCGGUCUGAGAGGAUGAUCAGUCACAUGGGAACUGAGACACGGCCCAGACGCCUACGGGAGGCAGCAGUGGGGAAUAUUGGGCAAUGGGCGAAAGCCUGACCCAGCAAUGCCGCGUGUGUGAAGAAGGUCUUCGGAUUGUAAAGCCCGUUGAGUUGGGAGGCGUUACCAACAGAGAAAGCCACGGCUAACUACGUGCCAGCAGCCGCGGUAAUAC
rnacentral:rRNA from 1 species